rnacentral:rRNA from 1 species
ACGCUCGACACCUACUGGAGGCAGCAGUGGGGAAUAUUGCACAAUGGGGGAAACCCUGAUGCAGCAACGCCGCGUGAAGGAAGACGGUUUUCGGAUUGUAAACUUCUGUUCUUAGUGAAGAUAGUGACGGUAGCUAAGGAGCAAGCCACGGCUAACUACGUGCCAGUAGCCGCGGUAAUCUGAGCGGGCUGGCAAGGC